rnacentral:misc_RNA from 1 species
AACUAAAAUUUCUUAAGCAACUAAUGAAAUAUGGGUUGCUAAAAGACUAGAGCUGCCUGCCUGCCUAGUAUAGGCCACCGGAAAUAACUGGGAUGGUUUUGUGUGUGCUGAGACAUCUGUUUACUUGUGUAACUGGUUUUCAUUGGGGAAUCCAUUACUAGGCAGGUGUAUAGCCAAGUGGUCGUUGUUCGCACCAGUAGAAUUCCAUAUUGUUAUUAU